rnacentral:rRNA from 1 species
CUGAGGUGGUAUACGAUGGUUCCGCGUCUGAUUAGCUAGUUGGUGGGGUAAAAGCCUACCAAGGCAACGAUCAGUAGCCGGCCUGAGAGGGUGAACGGCCACAUUGGGACUGAGACACGGCCCAAACUCCUACGGGAGGCAGCAGUGGGGAAUAUUGCACAAUGGGGGAAACCCUGAUGCAGCGACGCCGCGUGAGUGAAGAAGUAUUUCGGUAUGUAAAGCUCUAUCAGCAGGGAAGAAAUACUGACCAUAGGGUCAGCAGACGGUACUUGACUAAGAAGCCCCGGCUAACUACGUGCCAGCAGCCGCGGUAAUACGUAGGGGGCAAGCGUUAUCCGGAUUUACUGGGUGUAAAGGGAGCGUAGACGGCAGCGCAAGUCUGAAGUGAAAUGCCAGGGCUUAACCCUGGAACUGCUUUGGAAACUGUGCAGCUAGAGUGCAGGAGAGGUAAGUGGAAUUUCUAGUGUAGCGGUGAAAUGCGUAGAUAUUAGGAGGAACACCAGUGGCGAAGGCGGCUUACUGGACUGUAACUGACGUUGAGGCUCGAAAGCGUGGGGAGCAAACAGGAUUAGAUACCCUGGUAGUCCACGCUGUAAACG